rnacentral:rRNA from 2 species
CGAGCGGACAGAUGGGAGCUUGCUCCCUGAUGUUAGCGGCGGACGGGUGAGUAACACGUGGGUAACCUGCCUGUAAGACUGGGAUAACUCCGGGAAACCGGGGCUAAUACCGGAUGGUUGUUUGAACCGCAUGGUUCAAACAUAAAAGGUGGCUUCGGCUACCACUUACAGAUGGACCCGCGGCGCAUUAGCUAGUUGGUGAGGUAACGGYUCACCAAGGCAACGAUGCGUAGCCGACCUGAGAGGGUGAUCGGCCACACUGGGACUGAGACACGGCCCAGACUCCUACGGGAGGCAGCAGUAGGGAAUCUUCCGCAAUGGACGAAAGUCUGACGGAGCAACGCCGCGUGAGUGAUGAAGGUUUUCGGAUCGUAAAGCUCUGUUGUUAGGGAAGAACAAGUACCGUUCGAAUAGGGCGGUACCUUGACGGUACCUAACCAGAAAGCCACGGCUAACUACGUGCCAGCAGCCGCGGUAAUACGUAGGUGGCAAGCGUUGUCCGGAAUUAUUGGGCGUAAAGGGCUCGCAGGCGGUUUCUUAAGUCUGAUGUGAAAGCCCCCGGCUCAACCGGGGAGGGUCAUUGGAAACUGGGGAACUUGAGUGCAGAAGAGGAGAGUGGAAUUCCACGUGUAGCGGUGAAAUGCGUAGAGAUGUGGAGGAACACCAGUGGCGAAGGCGACUCUCUGGUCUGUAACUGACGCUGAGGAGCGAAAGCGUGGGGAGCGAACAGGAUUAGAUACCCUGGUAGUCCACGCCGUAAACGAUGAGUGCUAAGUGUUAGGGGGUUUCCGCCCCUUAGUGCUGCAGCUAACGCAUUAAGCACUCCGCCUGGGGAGUACGGUCGCAAGACUGAAACUCAAAGGAAUUGACGGGGGCCCGCACAAGCGGUGGAGCAUGUGGUUUAAUU